CGGCGCGAGACGGAUGCGAGUGCCAAGUGGGCCACUUUUGGUAAGCAGAACUGGCGCUGUGGGAUGAACCAAAAGCCGGGUUACGGCGCCCGAUGCCGGACGCUCAUGAGACCCCAUGAAAGGCGUUGGUUGCUAAAAACAGCAGGAGGAUGGCCAUGGAAGUCGGAAUUCCCUAAGGAGUGUGUAACAACUCACCUGCCGAAGCAACUAGCCCUGAAAAUGGAUGGCGCUGAAGCGUCGGGCCUACACCCGGCCGCGACCGCAGAACGUAACUAGGUGCGCGUUACGCGGUCGCGAGUAGGAGGGUCGCCGCGGCGAGCGUCGAAGGUGCCUGGCGUGAGCCAGCCUGGAGCCGCCGCGGGCGCAGAUCUUGGUGGUAGUAGCAAAUACUCGAGUGAGACCCUCGAGGACUGAGGUGGAGCAGGGUUCCAUGUGAACAGCAGUUGAACAUGGGUCAGUCGGUCCUUGGGGAUGGGCGAAAGCCUUUCCGAAGCGGGGCAUUGGCACGGAGUGCCCCGCUGCGACCGAAAGGGAAAGGGGUUAAUAUUCCCCUACCGGGACACGGAGAGUGGGGCCUUUGCGCUCCCGGUGCGGUAACGCAACCGAACUCGCUGACGUCGGCGGGAACUCCGGGGAGAGUUGUCUUUUCUUUGUAAGGAUCUCCGCGUCCAUGGAAACGGCCCGUCCGGAGAUAUGGACUAAGGAUCCGUAAAGCACCGCGGCUCUUGCGGUGUCCGGAGCGUUCCCGCCGGCCCUUGAAAAGGCGAGGGAGAGGUGUGAUUUUCGUGCCCGGCCGUACCCAUAUCCGCAGCAGGUCUCCGAGGUG
rnacentral:rRNA from 1 species